UGCGGGGAUGACGUGAAGAGGGUUGGCGGUGCUGACGAACCAGGUUUACCAGGGUUGGUUGGGAUUAGAGGACGGUUGGGGAUGUCACACAGAGAGGAGACUAGGAACGGCCGAACGAGCAGAAAACGGCGAGGACGAGGCGUCACCAGAGUGUGGCCUAAUGGUGGAUCAAACAAAGAGACGCGAGUAGAGGGUUGUGCGUAUAUAUAUAUAUAUAUAUAUACAUGUACAUGUACAUAUUAUAUAUACAUAUAAUAGAUACACACUAUACCCAAGAGUUUGCCGUCCUAUGUUACAGGCUGUACCCACAAAGUAACUACACCGAGUAGCAAUCCGUAGGAUGAAUCUAAAUAGAAACUACCCUAACUGAAAUUUUUAUUCGGUCUUCAGCCAAAUAAUUGAGAAAUUUAUUUUUCGCAGAUGGUUUGUUGACAAAGGGAGAAACGAUUCCGUUUCAAAGCCGUACCGAUCCGAGGAUUCAGGUUUUGUUUAGUCUCUAUUCACCCCUGAUAGCUUUUAUAUGGACCAAUGAGAAUUCGGGAUUGCUAAGAUUUACUACUAGGCUCGAAUCUUGGCCACGUGUUCAAAAUUUCCGACAUUUAAUUAUGCGAAUCCCCAUGCACGAUUACCGUACGUAAGUGCGUACUGAACUUGCGGCGAAUUUACAUGCAGGAACCUCAUUUAGGAGCAGUGCGUCAUGGACUGUGUGUUCCUGGUAAAUUAUCAGGGGACCCUCGAAGGUCUUACGCAGGAUUCAAUGUGUAUCCUCGGGGGAUUAGUUCGGGUUGGGUUGGAUUAUUGAGACGUCACGGACGACCGGGCGCAGUAUAGCGAGAUUGACCCACCGGAAAGGCUACCCUAGCGACGUCUUAAAUGUCAGGUUAGACUUGGCCGGGAGGUAAGAGCGCGAAGAGUAAACAGUUCGUGCCUGGAAACAGACACUAAGGGCCGGGGGAAUCGAAUUCCGGACGCCUAAGACCUUUCGUCGAGUUCCGUCGUCGUGUGUAGCCCUUCAGUUUUAUUAACGUAAUUCGCGCGCGCAGCGCUCUAUCGUACAGUCAAGAGAGUACGACGGAACUUUUCGGUACUACUGAAAAACUUUCCUUCGGUCCGUAGAAGGCAGAAAUUUAAUAGUCGUGCCAAUGCGAAAACCUUGAAGAACCUUAUCCAAUCUGCAUAAAAGUGACGUUGACAGUUAAAAUGAUCGAAUAAACUAUUUUUCCCUUAUAAAUCCUGACGAUCUUUUUUCAUUCUCGACAAACGCUCCCAUCAAUCACGACCUUUAACGUGCUAUACUGCUGGGUAUAAUGGGACUUGCAAUGACUACACUACAGUCGAUUCGCUCGAAACGACCUCUGCUACGUUUACUAUCUAAAUUGCAUUUUCAACUUAGCGACUCGGACGGCCACAAAGGGACCCUAAACCUGAAUCAACAAUCGAAUUCACUACUCGAAUAAUCCCCAGUAUCGUUCCGUAUCGAUAAGUACAAUAGCCAGGAAGUUACACAGAGCAGUCUGAUAAAUGAGAAAUACAAACGUACAUUGCUGUCAGCAAGCAAAAAGAUUUCAGUAAGAAUAAUUGCCAAGAAAAAUCCGAGUAACUUCCAUACAAUUAUAAAAGAUGUAGCGAGAGAAGUAAUUUAAGAAAAUAAUUAAUUUUGCUUUUUCUUAAAUUAAACAACUUUCCUGAUCUCUCGUUACUUCCAUCGUAACGCAGCCAGACCCCGCUGGUAGUUCCACGUUAAAUCGGGUACACGGAAUACGUGGUAAUCGAAUGCACGUCUAUAUACGUGCAGCUCGACCCUGGCGAAGCCGCCGUUGGCUAUUGAGAAUUCCAGAAACGGUAUAAAGGCUCGAGAAACAUGAUCGAGCCGACUGCACGGCCUCCUAGGUUCUAUAUUCGUAACACUGGCCAAGCGCAUUGGCACGUACUCGGUCGCGGUGCGAGUGUCCGAGUGCAGCAGUCGACGAAUGGGAAGCAGCGGCGACGAGUAAAAUGUAUCGCGACGCCCGGGCGUCGUUGUAAAAAGGUGAACGAUGGCCGUAAGCCAAUGCAGCCACGAGACCCUGUCUCAUACCGUGAAUUCAAUUACCAUCGGGACUUUAACGGGAUCCCACGUAUUUGACGCGGGAAAUUCAAAAAGAGAUUUGACAGACGGAUUUUGGCCACCUGUGCAGCCGCAAGGAUUUACCAAGCGUCAGAUACCUCGUCGGCCACGUUUUACAGCGCGUCAGCCCUAUACUUUCUCAGUUGUUUGUUCAAGCACUAAUUUGAAUCAAUCAAGCAAUCCACUUCUGAGCCUCACAUGAUGACUACUAUAUACUGUACGAUGAGACUGAACGUGAGUAAAUGAUGAAAGACCGACAACCUUAAUAUUAUCAUUUGAUUUUAAUCAUAGAACAUCAAUGAAUGACAGUGCAACCAGCCUUGCAAUAAUAAACCUAUAUACAUAUACCAAGUUCACUUAAGUUUCAUGAAAUAAAUAUAACUGAACAAUA